AUUGAACGCUGGCGGCAUGCUUUACACAUGCAAGUCGAACGGUAACAGGCCGCAAGGUGCUGACGAGUGGCGAACGGGUGAGUAAUGCAUCGGAACGUGCCCAGUCGUGGGGGAUAACGCAGCGAAAGCUGCGCUAAUACCGCAUACGAUCUAUGGAUGAAAGCGGGGGACCGUAAGGCCUCGCGCGAUUGGAGCGGCCGACGCCAGAUUAGGUAGUUGGUGGGGUAAAGGCUCACCAAGCCAACGAUCUGUAGCUGGUCUGAGAGGACGACCAGCCACACUGGGACUGAGACACGGCCCAGACUCCUACGGGAGGCAGCAGUGGGGAAUUUUGGACAAUGGGCGCAAGCCUGAUCCAGCAAUGCCGCGUGCAGGAAGAAGGCCUUCGGGUUGUAAACUGCUUUUGCACGGAACGAAACGGUCCUGGUUAAUACCUGGGGCUAAUGACGGUACCGUAAGAAUAAGCACCGGCUAACUACGUGCCAGCCGCCGCAGUAA
rnacentral:rRNA from 1 species